GUUUUAUCUAUAUGUCCAGGAGUUCAUGAAAGUUAAAAGGGAAACAGGUCAAAAGCCUGCGCGAGCCCGUCACUGUAGAUCCGGAGUGCAUGAGCAUUGUCCGCUGUGAGCGGACAGUCACUGGCAGUUCCUGCCGGGAAGGCGUUUCAUGUGUGAUGAUGGAUGAGCCAGGAAACCUGCCGGAUGUCUGCCGGGAGAA
rnacentral:ncRNA from 21 species